CUGGUCCGUUUCAGCACCCUACAAAACGACACCGUUUCAAGCCCUUGAUCCUAGACGUCGAGGUUCUUCAAUCUAACAGUUAGGAAGUCCACGUCCUUGAGUAUAAAUUUGUCCGACCGCAUGCCCCCACCCCCAUCUAUCUCUCAUCUCUCCAAACAGCCUCAUCCUCUACAUAGCCCUAGCGACGCCGCCCCCAUAUCCUCAACUCCUCCGGUGGAGACGCUGGUGUCCACUCUCCUCCAAACGAACACCCUAACACCACCUUACCUUUUACAUCCUCAAUCCAUAGCCAAAACCGUUCGAACACACCUGGAAC
rnacentral:lncRNA from 1 species